GUGCUUGCUUCGGCAGCACAUAUUCUAAAAUUGUAAUGAUACAGAGAAGAUUAGCAUGGCUCCUGCACAAGGAUGACACGCAAAUAAAAAUAAAUAAAAAUAAAAAAC